UCAAAAAAAAAGAAAGAAAGAAAGAAAGAUAGAAAGAAAUGCAACACCGGCGGCGGCGCGGCGGCUCUCCCUCCCAGGGUAGCGGAGGAGGCGGCUGUGUAGGGGCGGCGAGCUAGGGGAGGGGCCACUUGCUACCUCACCAUGGAGCUCGACGCCGCCGCUGGGAGAUUCCUCGCCGGGAGAUCGAUGCCGUCGCGCAGCCCACCGAUGGUUUCUCUGUUGCUGUGGUGCAAACUAGCGCUGACAAAAUGGAAAGGAAGUUCAGUAUUGAGCUUUAUGACUGCACAACCCCCCUGUGAGGAACCGCCUGGUGAUGUUUUAUCAGCCCUCUGUUUCUGGUAAUCAGGGGUAGUUCAUGAUAUUAUGCAGAGACUGGUCUUAUAAGGCAGGCAAGUGAGCAGAGAAUUUCGAAUCGUUGGAACAAACACUCAAGCCUGACCCAAUCUUUGCAUCAACUGAAAAGAGAUAUUAUCCUUAUUCCUUUAGAUGCAUCCAGAAGAAGAAUUGGAUAAAGUUUUGCAUACAAACAAAGCGAAAAAGGAAUUCAUUCUAUUAGUGAUGCCUUUCUUGGAACUGCACAAAAGCAAAGCAUGGAAUAAUAGAAUAAGCAUAUGGUUCCCUUUUGUUUUCCUCUGGUAAGUUUUGUACUUGUUCAGCUAUCAGGCAAAAGGAAAGUAGAUAGGCGAAUCUAAUAGGAUGUGCAUGUGUAUGAAACAGUCCUCUGAGUUUGAUUGUUAUCUGUUUGACAUAGGGCGCAGAAAGUAGGAGCUUAAAAUUGACGGUUCAUUUUCUUGUAUUCAGUUAUGUUGCUUUUGCUUUAUAGAUGCGCUUCUACAGAUGAUUGCUUCUCUUACAAUCUUAUUCGCACUAUUUUUCCUCCAUGUUUUGACAAAAACUACAAGUCUAAGUCAAGUUUAACUGGCAUACGUCAACAGUUUAUACAAUACACUGAUCGGUUUUUACUAACUUUAGAGAUCAUACAAUUUGGGAGGUUGGCGUUUGAUGGAUUGCCCCUCUAUAUAUCUCACUGACAUCUGGAUCCUUGCCACAAGUGACAGACACAGGAAUAUAAAAUCAACAAAUCCUCCUUAUAGAAUUCAACCUGCUGUCAUUCCUACCCUAUUAAUUUGUCCUGCAGUCCGUUUAAUUUUCAUGCUAUGUUCUGUAUUUUAUUUGGAGGGUGCAUCCCAAUAUUGCAAAAAGAAUACGGCAUGGUAAAUAAAAUAAAAUAAAAUUUAGUGAAAUCUGAUAUUGUAGGACCUACUAAAAAAGAAAAAGCUUGACAAGCUUGUUCUUUCGAAAGUAUAACUGAUAUGAGUGGUCCUUGCUGUUCUUUACAGUCUUCUGCUGGUUGUGUGCUACUGUGGUUUGCCUGCUUCUAUUAUGUGGAUCAAACAGUCUUCCCCAAAGUUGUUCAGGGAUUCCCUGUACUUAGCAAUUGCGAUUGUCCUCUGCUCAUUUGUUAAGACAAGCAGAAAUGGUCCAUGCGAUAUGAUGAUUGUACCUCGGUUCCUGUUCUAGUGCGGCAUGCCGGUGCAUAUCUGUUGCUCCGAAUUGCUGCUUGGUGCCUCGAGCAUCGGCUUGGAAUUGUGAACAAUGAUGGUCGAUCAUCAGGAGCAUAAACUAAAACUACUAUGCAUUAGAACAAUGGAAUAAGCUCUUUCUGGCCAUAGCUUUAUCUUUUGUACUGAAUCCAAUGAAAGGGAGCCUGUAUUAAAUAGGUAGAUUACAUUCAGUUGUUACUUGUUAAGAGCUUGGAAUCAUAUUCUCUCUGUUUCUCUUCCUGUCCUUAGCUGAGCUCUUGACAUUAGCAUCAUCGUUUU